rnacentral:rRNA from 1 species
CCCUAUCGAGCUUUAUUGGAUACCGAUAGCGUUAAUUUUGAAUGAUCGAUACUAAGUAUCCUAAUUCUAAGUUAAUAAUUUUUGUUGGUAGGACAGUUUAGUUGGGGCGACUACCUUUGAAUAAGAAACGAAGGCGAGCUUAUGGUAUUAUUAAAAAUCUCAUAAGCCUCACAGKGAGGGGGACACCCCUACCUGGCACACCCCACGGGAUGUGGGCGAUAGUGACCCGAUAUGAUUAUCCAAAAUAAAUAUCGAAAGCGGAUAAAAGCUACCGUAAGG